CGCUACAUUCCACGAGUUUCUCAGAACCUUUUUGCCAAUAUCCAAACAAUGUGAGCUAAGCUCGAUGUGGUUAAACUACCAAUUUAAACAAUGUAGUUAUACUGCCAAUCAAUAUGCAGACAAGCUGCCAAUUUUGUGGAUAAGCCACUAGUACAAUAAAUACAGUUUAGAUUGCCAAUCAAUAUGGGAUAAAAUCACUAAUCUCCUUAGUACUCUCAGCGCAGUACACUGAAAAAAAUAAUGCGGAUUGUAAUUGCCGCUGGUACUCUGCGGAACUCCUCCGUCAUCUACAAUAUCUCACCCCAUGCACAUGUAUUAUGACAUACAAGAAACAAGUAAGAUCAUGUUUCCAUUUUAGUCUCAAUUCAAUAGUAUUGUAUACAUGCUUUCAAUUUCUCAUUCAAUUCAGUCCAAUGCCAUGCUUGACAUGCAUACAAUUUCAUAAUCAUUGCAAUGGCAUUUAAUCAUGCUACAAUAACAACUUUAGCGCACAGGCUUUCAAUUAUUCAUACAAUAGUAUCAUAACCAGACAUACAUUUCACACAUUCAAUCAAACAAUAAUUGGUUGUGUGCCAUGUUAUACAUUUAACUAGCAGCCAUUAAUAUCCAUAUCAACCAUUCAAAAUUAUAUCAAUACCAUAAAUACAACUAAUCAGUUAACCAUGACAAUUUUUGCAUUCAUGCUAUUUAGUUAGGGUUUGAUAUGUACCUAGUUUGACCACUUUUAAAUCACUUAUUUAGCCAUUUAAAUAAGCUCGGCUAGCAAGCUUAAACAUUAAUUUAAACACUAAAAAUAUAAUUUUAACACUUAAUUUUAGAAGUUGGAACCCAUACUUUAAAAUCGCAAAACCGCAACACUAUUUUUGC
rnacentral:lncRNA from 1 species